rnacentral:rRNA from 1 species
GAUGAACGCUGGCGGCGUGCCUAAUACAUGCAAGUCGAGCGAACGGACGAGAAGCUUGCUUCUCUGAUGUUGCGGCGGACGGGUGAGUAACACGUGGAUAACCUACCUAUAAGACUGGGAUAACUUCGGGAAACCGGAGCUAAUACCGGAUAAUAUUUUGAACCGCAUGGUUCAAAAGUGAAAGACGGUCUUGCUGUCACUUAUAGAUGGAUCCGCGCUGCAUUAGCUAGUUGGUAAGGUAACGGCUUACCAAGGCAACGAUGCAUAGCCGACCUGAGAGGGUGAUUGGCCACACUGGAACUGAGACACGGUCCAGACUCCUACGGGAGGCAGCAGUAGGGAAUCUUCCGCAAUGGGCGAAAGCCUGACGGAGCAACGCCGCGUGAGUGAUGAAGGUCUUCGGAUCGUAAAACUCUGUUAUUAGGGAAGAACAUAUGUGUAAGUAACUGUGCACAUCUUGACGGUACCUAAUCAGAAAGCCACGGCUAACUACGUG